AUUGAACGCUGGCGGCAGGCCUAACACAUGCAAGUCGAGCGGAUGAAGGGAGCUUGCUCCUGGAUUCAGCGGCGGACGGGUGAGUAAUGCCUAGGAAUCUGCCUGGUAGUGGGGGAUAACGUCCGGAAACGGGCGCUAAUACCGCAUACGUCCUGAGGGAGAAAGUGGGGGAUCUUCGGACCUCACGCUAUCAGAUGAGCCUAGGUCGGAUUAGCUAGUUGGUGGGGUAAAGGCCUACCAAGGCGACGAUCCGUAACUGGUCUGAGAGGAUGAUCAGUCACACUGGAACUGGGACACGGACCAGACUCCUACGGGAGGCAGCAGUGGGGAAUAGUGGACAAUGGGCGAAAGCCUGAUCCAGCCAUGCCGAGUGUGUGAAGAAGGUCUUCGGAUUGUAAAGCACGUUAAGUUGGGAGGAAGGGCAGUAAGUUAAUACCUUGCUGUUUUGACGUUACCAACAGAAUAAGCACCGGCUAACUACGUG
rnacentral:rRNA from 1 species